UGCAAUUCUAAUUGUUUUCAAGUAGAGACCUUGGUGUGGAGCGAAAUAGAAAUAAAAGAACGAAUGGAAUUUUAAUUUUGCUACAGUUGUGUCGCUACGAAUAUUUAAUUUAAGCAUAAUACAAUAUUUUGGAUUAGACCAUAGAUUACGCAAUUCUCACGGACAUCAGGCAAUAUUUUAAAUAGAGUUGAAUCACAAUUUCCAUUAUUUACAUUAUUUACAUUUGACCGACAUUUGUCCUCAUCUUGUUUGUUGUUAACACAACAUUUCGGCUGAUAUACCCUCCAGCUUUUAUCAGGUGUCUUGCGGAAAUUUCGAACCUGGGUUCUCAUUCCUAAGGUAUUUUUCUAUGUUGUUGUUGUUGUUAUUAUUAUUAUUAUUAUUAUUAUUAUUAUUAUUAUUAUUCAGGUCACUGCCUGGAAUCGAACUCGGAAUGUUGGGGUUAGUAGCCUGCGCUCUUAACCACUACAUCUGUCAAAUGUAAAUAAUGUAUAUAAUUCCUCAUUUCUUAAAUAUAGAACUGAAUAGCGACUUGUUUCCGAAACAAGUAAAGUUAUAGUCAAAGGUACUGAUUUAUAAAAUGAACAGAGUAGGUGUAUCAAGAAUCGUACAAAACGAAGGGAUGAAUUUAUAAUUUACAGUUAUGGACCUAAGAUAAAAGAAACGGGAUUUUUUUACUGAUACUUGGCACUGAGGCAAAUAUUUAUACUGGUUCAAAGAAAACUAUUUGUCAUUUAUUUUAUUGAAUUUUUAUUCAUAUAAACACACAUUUAUAUCCACACGUAUACACACACACACACACACGAUAUACGCACAUGCAUAUACCUGUACCUGUAAUAACCCCGUCUUUCCGUCAUCAAGACUAUGUAACUGUAGAAAUAGAUUUUAGUACCCUCUUAAUAAUAAGUACUUGACCAAAAAUAUUGUAUACGACUGUAAUAUCCAUACAAACCAGAAUAUAUUUACUGACAGAAUUUCUACUUCCCCACUUCAAAUGGAGAUUACAUAACCAUACUCGCGGCUCUUGAAGAAGAGACAUGGCUAAAAUGGCAUCACUUUUAACUUUCUAGAACUUCCUCAUUGAGCCCUAUAUAAAGGUGGCUUUUGGUGGCAACUCUGGCAUGUCGAGGCAGCCACCUGACGUCUCCAAUCUCAUGGCAGUUAGAAGAUACAGAUUUAGUCACCAUGAACAGAGUGUGAUUAUUUUCCAGUUGUGCUGGAUCAGCCACAGAUUGCUAUACAGCAGUUAAAUUGUUGUAGAUCCCGGCAGUAUGUCUCUCCUGGUGGCUAAUUGUUGCUGUUAGUUUUUGCAAAAUGACCAACACAGAAAACGCUAUGUGCAGUUAACAAAGUUUGUGUUAAUUGUUCGUGAGUGUUGUUAAUUUUUUUUAUACGCAGCCUUAGAAAGACAUUUUCGUUUCCACCAACAUCAAGUACAAAAACAACACUUCACAGACAGGCCUUACCUUAGUUCAUAUAGAGAAACGGACAUUAUAGUUCGAUAUAAUGAUUUGAUUGUUAUUCAAGUAUUAGAUAUGUUCAUAACUCCGUCAUUCACAUUUAAUCACUGGAUAGACACCUCUCUAUUGUAAUUUGUUCUAUUAGCUUCCUCGUUGUGGAACAGUAAAUAUUAAAUGGUAAAUAUUUAAUAUUGGGUCGAUGAAUUCUAGUAUUCAAGUAUCUUAUUACUUUUCGAACUACCAGCCUAUAUUAUCCUUCCAUUAUCAUCUAAAUCAAUCCUACCACCUAUAAACUUCCUUGUCUUUCGCAUUCUCUCGUCUUCCACUUCUUCCUCCUUUUCUAUAUACUGUAUUUAUUCUCUUCUUAAAUGUUUUUUUGUAACGCCCGUCUAUUUAUUACUUUAUAUAUUUGUUUUAUUUUCUAUUCUUCUUUUUUAUCUUAAAGCACUUGUGCAAAUUUUACUCUUCUAAGUGUGCGUGUAUAUACAUGCAUAUGUAUAUGUGUUAGCAUAUGUUGACGUAUGUAGAGGGUGUUCAGGCUAAAUUCGAUGGGGUUUUUUAAUGCCUUUUUUUUUUUCAGGAACAGCUUGAUGUAUUGGUGAAUAGUCAACGGCAUUGGAGAGCAUAAGGAUUAAAGUUGUGAUUGAUAAAAAGAAAGCUGACAUGGAAGACUAAAGGCCAUCUGGAUACUGAAAAAGACUUACCUGUAUCAUAAUGAUUUGUGCCAGGUAUCAAAAUGGUGAUACCAUGACUGAUACUCAAGGCUCUGAGAAAACUGUAAAGGCAUGGCAUGGGCAGCUGCAAUAGAGACAACAAAGCCAUGGUCUGAAGAGAGGGACAAGCUGGCGAUCUGACUGCAUCUUCACACACAAGGAUUCACCCAACAACUGCAAGAUCAUGUGAUAAAAAAUCCAAGUAAGGGAAUUCAAGCUUUGACAAGAGAGAUGGGUUUCGAAGUUGCCAUCAUGAGGCCAAACCUGAAUGGGGGGAGGUUGCUUCCACUCAUACAAGAGGCACAAGAGACAAAUUCUGACAGCCAAGGGGAUGAUGAGAGCAAAGAAGCUCUUGAACAAACUGAGGUAUCCUGUUGUGCUAGGGAUGAUCUGGUUCUUUUCAGAUGAGAAAAACUUCAGCCUUGACCAGUUGCACAACACUCAAAACAACAGGUGGCUUACCUUCAAUUCAUGUGUGUCCAACAUAUCAUGAAAACCAAGUUACCCAAAACUGUGAUGGUCUUUGGGUGUCUUCAGUGAAGCUGACAUCAUGCUGCCCUACAUCUUUGAACAGGGCCUUAUGCUCAACUCAGAUGUCUAUGUGAAGCAACUGGAGACUGUGGUCAAGCCCUGGCUAGAUAGGGUUGCUGCUGGAAGGUCAUAUGUGCAGCAGCAUGAUUCAGC
rnacentral:lncRNA from 1 species